rnacentral:SRP_RNA from 1 species
GCUGAGCGUGGUGGCGCACGCCUGUAAUCCCAGCUACUAGGGAGGCUGAGACAGGAGAAUCGCUUGAGCCUGGGAGGCAGAGGUUGCAGUGAGCCGAGAUCACGCCACUGCACUCCAGCCUGGGCGACAGAGCAAGACUCUGUCUCAA